rnacentral:lncRNA from 1 species
CUAUUUAAAGGUCUCACUAGAUAUUUUGUCUGUUUGAUCCUGCAGGAAUUUUAUGAUUCAUGGUAGAAAAUCACAAAACAAGAAAAUCCCAAUUAUUGGGGCCAUCUGGGAUGUCUGAGGAAGCCGACUUGGUAGGUGUGAGGGAGGUAGAUGCCAGGAGGGUGGCAAAAGACACAGGUAGAACUAGAGUGAGGCAUGUUGUUGGGAGGGUUUCUUGGGUUGGGGAAGGUCCUCCUUGGGAAGGGGGGAAGGAACCCUCAGGUGUGAGAUGUGGAGCUUUAAAGGAUUCUGAGGAGUGGUAGAGCAGACAUAUUUGUGGUUAGGAGGAUGGUGGAUGGUCAGUCUGGGCUCCCUCAGUCAGAGGCGGGGCCAGUUUCAGCCUGGAAAUGUGAAUCCAUGAAGUCAGUUUGCCUGGGACUCCUGUAGAUGGGCAGCAGUGGGAGUGCACAAGAUAAUCCUUAGGGGGCCCUUCCAUUUAGGUGUCAGGGUAGGCAUGUCACCAGAAGGAGGAGAGAAAUAUACCCAGUCACCUGGGGUUAAGGGGAAAGAGAUGUGUGACAUGGAAGGAUCAUGUAAUAGAGUUUCCUGGUGUUUCCAAAUCUGUGUUUGGAUGAAACUAAGAAGGAGGUGACUGAGAUGUUCUGGAAGAAUGCAGGGUGAAGGAGUCAUCACAGAUAGUAGGGGUGGGCUUCCAUACAUCACCUUAAAAAGUAUGUUUGAGUUGGCCUUUUGGGGAAUGCCCAAAGGCGAAACAGGGUGACUAGGAGAAAUUUGACCCAGUGGAGUUGUAGUUCGAAGGCGUCCAUGGGAUAGAUCCCUGUAGAGCCUGUGCCAGCAUCAGGGUUUCUUGCUUUCUGGCCUUCUUGUCCCGGUUAUGAUACACCUUAAAGGCUGUAGCCAUGUAUUUAGUCUGAGGGGGUCAAGGGUCCCCAUUCCAGUUUUUUUAAAUUUCGCCCAAAUGUUGUGGUAGCUCUGGGAGAAGAAUUAGGUCAUUAGGAGCUAUCUCCCAUUGGGGGUUUCAGGGUCUAAAUUUGUAUAUUGUUGGAGCCCUUAGUCAGUCUAUCUAGAAAGGUGGAAGGGUUCUCAUUUUUAUCCUCAAUAAGUUCUUGGAGUUUUAGAAAGUUUUUUAAAGUUUACCACCUUCUGAGCCUCCAUCUGGGUCCAGCAACUAAGCAGGUGGAAAAUUGGUCCCUCACAGGUAAUCCUGAGGCAGUAUUGUAGUCCCAAUUAGGGUCCUGAAUAGGAACUGCCCAGGCACCUAGCGGGUGGGCUGGGUGGUUUGAUGGACCUCAUCAGCAAAUUAUGGGCUUGUUCCCAGACCCCCACCUGCAUUCUCUGGGAGAAG